rnacentral:rRNA from 1 species
CCUACGGGGGGCUGCAGUGAGGAAUAUUGGUCAAUGGACGAGAGUCUGAACCAGCCAAGUAGCGUGAAGGAUGACUGCCCUAUGGGUUGUAAACUUCUUUUACACAGGAAUAACACGAGGCACGUGUGCCUUUUUGCAUGUACCUUACGAAUAAGGACCGGCUAAUUCCGUGCCAGCAGCCGCGGUAAUACGGAGGUUCCGAGCGUUAUCCGGAUUUAUUGGGGUUAAAGGGAGCGUAGAUGGGUUGUUAAGUCAGGUGUGAAAGUUUGCGGCUCAACCGGAAAAUUGCAAUUGAUACUGGAAGUCUUGAGUACAGUUGAGGUAGGCGGAAUUCGUGGUGUAGCGGUGAAAUGCUUAGAUAUCACGAAGAACCCCGAUUGCGAAGGCAGCUUACUAAACUGUGACUGACAUUGAUGCUCGAAAGUGUGGGUAUCAAACAGGAUUAGAUACCCGAGUAGUC